rnacentral:rRNA from 1 species
GAAACUCAAAGGAAUUGACGGGGACCCGCACAAGUAGCGGAGCAUGUGGUUUAAUUCGAAGCAACGCGAAGAACCUUACCUAAGCUUGACAUCCCAAUGACAUCUCCUUAAUCGGAGAGUUCCCUUCAGGGACAUUGGUGACAGGUGGUGCAUGGUUGUCGUCAGCUCGUGUCGUGAGAUGUUGGGUUAAGUCCCGCAACGAGCGCAACCCUUGUCUUUAGUUGCCAUCAUUAAGUUGGGCAC